GACAGAGGGGGCAAGCGUUGUUCGGAGUUACUGGGCGUAAAGGGCGCGGAGGCGGACUGCGGCGUCAGCGGUGAAAGCGCCGGGCUUAACGGGGCGAGGCGUGCUGAUACGCGUAGUCUUGAGGCGAGCAGAGGGUGGUGGAAUUCCGGGUGUAGAGGUGAAAUGCGUAGAGAUUAGGAGGAACGCCAGUGGGGAAGGCGGCUCCCUGGUCUGGGACUGACGCUGCGGCGCGACCGCGUGGGGAGCAAACCGG
rnacentral:rRNA from 1 species